CCAGGCUGGAGUGUAAUGGUGCAAUCUCGGGUCACUGCAACUUCAAGCGAUUCUCCUGCCUCAGCCUCCUGAGUAGCUGGGAUUACAGGCAUGUGCCAUUAUGCCCAGCUAAUUUUUGUACUUUUAGUAGAGACGCAGUUUCACCAUGUUGGCCAGGCUGGCCUUGAACUCCUGACCUCAAGUGAUGCAUCCACCUUGGCCUCCCAAAGGGCUGAAAUUACAGGUGUGAGCCACCUCGCACGGCCAGUUCCCUAUUUUUAUCAGUGCACUUUACCAUUUAUCUACUCAAUUCCUCACCCAUAUGCAAGGCUGCCCUUUUCUGAAGGAUGCUAGUGGUGAAUCCAUUGAAAAAUCCACUGAUUGUGUUCCCCUAGGGCCUCUUCAAGAUGGAAAGAUUCAGGUGGGGCACGGUGGCUCACACCUGUAAUCUCAGCACUUUGGGAGGCCGAGGUGGGCGGAUCACCUGAGGUCAGGAGUUCAAGACCAGCCUGGCCAACAUGACAAAAUCCGUCUCUACUAAAAAUACAAAAAUUAGCCGGGGUGGUGGCUUGUGCCUGUAAUCCCAGCUACUCAGGAGGCUGAGGGAGGAGAAUCGCUUGAACUCAGGAGGCAGAGGUUGCAGUGAGCCAAGAUUGUGCCACUACACACCAUCCUGGGUGACAGAGUGAGACUCUGUCUCAAAAAAAAAAAGCCAGGUGCAGUGGCUCACGCCUGUAAUCCUAGCACUUUGGAGACCGAGGCAGGUGGAUUGCCUGAGCUCAGGAGUUUGAGACCAGCCUGGCCAACAUGGUGAAACCCCGUCUCUACUAAAAUACAAAAAAAUUAGCUGGGCGUGGCAGCAUGUACCUGUAGUCCCAGCUACUCAGGAGGCUCAGGAAGGAGAAUUGCUAGAACCUGGGAGGUGGAGGUUGCACUGAGCCAAGAUUGCACCGCUGUACUCCAGCCUGGGUGACAGAGUGAGACUCUAUCUGGAAAAAAAAAAAAAAAAAAAAAAAAGAUUCUACAGUGAGCACAAAGGUGAAACUCACCUUGAAUGCUUUUACCAAUUGAGUGUGGAUGAACUAAUUCAGAGUAUUGCGGGCCCCUGCUGCAGCAAACACAGAGCUCCCAAAAUGCUCAGGCUAUUGGGAGGCAACUGCCUUGUCAGGGUGGCCAAUGGUUUCCCCAUUGCCAAAUCGGACAGUUAACUCCAGUCCUUGUCUGACUGGAGGCCUGCAGAUCACUGCCUCCUCUGUAACGCUCUUUACCCCCAACCCAGGGAUCCAAGAUGCCCUACUCUAGGAUCAUUUUCUCUGCCUCAUUCAUCACUCAGACUCCUUCAUUUGUUCCUUCUCUUCUCCCUCCUCUGAGUGCUGCAGAGCCCGGGUUUCCAUCCUCAGACCCCUGCCCUGCCUGCUCUCUGUCCCAAGGCAGCACUGCCAGCAUCCGAAAUAAAAAUCCAGCCCUCCUAUUCAUAGUGACAUCGAAUUUCAGAUCAACGACAAAGAGUUUUAUGGCAUAAGCAUGUCCCAAAUAUUGCAUGGCCCCAAAUAUUUACUUAGUUAAUAAGUAAAAAUUGCACAAGACAUACUUAUGCUAAAGAGUAUUGACUAUUUGUCUGAGUCCAAAUGUCUCUGGGCAUGCUGGGUUUCAUCAGGUAAUCCUGCCAUGAUUUCAGUUUCAAGGUGAUACCAUCUAUGGUGACUCUUCUGAAAAUGUUUAUCUCUAGCCUAGGUCUCUCUCCUGAACUGCAGACUCCUGCUGCCUCCAGCACAUCGCCACUUGGGUAAUGAAUAGGUGUCUCAACCUGAACAUGUCAAAAACAACACUCAUUUUUCCCCCCAAUUCCUUGCCGUUCUCACAGGUAGUCUCGUCCCCCCAGCUGCUCACCCACAAGCCUUGCACUCAGCCUUGACUCUGUUCUUCUCACACCCCAUAUCCAGUCUGCCAGGAGGUCCUUGGUCCUCCUGGGCUACACUAAUAGUGCCUCUUGCUGGUCACUGCAACCACCUCCCAUUCCUUUCCCUGCAUUGUCCUGUGCCUCACAUGGUUUUUUUCUCAACAUGCCAGCCAGAAUGACUCUUUGAAAACUUUCUCAUGCCAUGUCACUUUUCAGCCCAUCGCCCUGCAGCAGGUCCCCAUGUUACUCAGUGUAAAAGCCCAAGGUCCUUGCCCCAUCCUGCAAAGCCCCUGUGACUCUGUGGUCUCUGGAACCUUAACUCUUCCACUCUUCCUCCAGACCACUCCCUCUCCCGCAGCCUCCUGGGUGCUCCCACCAGCCAGCAUGCUCCUGCUGCGGAGCUGUGGCCCUGGCUCCUUCCUUCCUCCCGGAAUGCUCUUGGCUCCGGUGUGCAUCAUGGAGAUAGCUCCUGUCUGCCCCCAAAUCGCUGCUCAAACCUCACCUCAGUGAGGCCGGCGCUGACCUCAUCACUGACCUAUUCACCUUCCAAACUGCUCACCUCCCAGGACUCUGAUACUCCUUCCCAACUCUUUUUCAUUCUUCCAUAAAUAACAAUGUCUAACUUAUUAGGCAAUUUCUUCAUUAUAAUUGUCCUUUGUUUUCAGUCUCUUCUCACUAGAAAGGAAAGUCCAUAAUGCCCAGAAUCUUUGUUGGGUUCCCUGAAGAAUGCCAGGCUCCCGGAAGAGGGCCUGCCUCCCAGCAGGCACAUGUGUGUGGAAUGAAUGAAUGAAUGAAUGAAUGAGGCUUGUGCAAACUAACUGCUUGCAGGAAACACCUGCUCCUUCCUGGGCACUGGGUGAAAUCUUUCGUAGAAGUUAACCAUUGACUCUUCUCCCCACCAGCCUCCUCCGUCCCUCACAGUUAAAUGCAGCUGGAAGAGGGGUUGCCCUGUACCUCCAGCUAGGUGGACUCCCCAGGAAAGAGUGACAUCUCACCACUGAGCCACCUCAGCCUUUUCCAGAGACAAGCCUUCUCUAGGCCAAUCAUCAGUGUCACAGCUAUUUGUUCUUGGGAUUUGUGGCUCUAUAUUCACAUGUAAGAAGCCAAGGCACCCAUGGGGAGCCACAGGCACCAACAGAAUACACUGAAAUCAAUCUUGCUGCGACUGGGGCUACAAGCAUGGUUACUUGGCUCACCACAGGAGUGGAAAGAGAAUGUCCCAACUGCCCCUGGUAAAAGGUGACACAGCUGGGUGCAGUGGCUCACACCUGUAAUCCCAGCAAUUUCAGAGGCCAAGGCAGCAGGAUCACUUGAGCCCAGGAGUUCGAGACAUGACUGGGCAACAUGCCUUGCCUUUGGAUCUGAAAUCCUAGGAAAUACAGUGGAAAGAAUUCUGUGGUGAGAAUCAUUAAACACUGAGUCUGGUUCAGCGCUGCUUCCUGUUACUUGUGUGACCCUGGACAGGCAAACCCAGCCUCCCUGGCUCUGAUCCCUCCUCUGUUAAAUGAGGGAUUUGGAUUGACACGAGUACUUCUCAAACUUUAGUGAAUCUUCUGGGGAUGUUGUUAAAAUGCAGUAUGUAUUCACCAGACCUGGGGUGGGGCCUGAGACUCUGCAUUUCCAACAAGUUCCUAGGUGAUACUGAUGCUGCUGGCUCAGGAUCGCACUCCAAUUAGGCCACCCUCCAAGGUGCCAUCAUGCUGUAAGCUAUAACAACUACCAAAUAAAGAAAAGCAUUAUGUCAACAAUGGAUAACAAUAAAUACUUAUUUUAGAAAAUAAAUAUAGCUUUUUCUUUUUUUGAAACAGGGUCUUACUUUGUCACCUAGGCUGGAGUGCUGUGGCAUGAACACAGCUCACUGCAGCCCCGACCUCCAGGGCUCAGGUAUCCUCCUGCCUCGGUCCCCCAAGUAGCUGGGACUACAGGUGUGCACCACCAUGGUUGGCUAAUUUUUGUGUUUUCUGUAAAGACAGGGUUUUGCCAUGUUGCCCAGGCUGGUACAAAUAUAGCUUUAGUUUUCUGUUUGUAAAAGUAAUGCAUGCUUACGAAAAUUGUUCUUAAAAAAAUCACAUAGGCCGGGCGCGGUGGCUCACGCCUGUAAUCCCAGCACUUUGGGAGGCCGAGGAGGGCGGAUCACGAGGUCAGGAGAUCGAGACUAUCCUGGCUAACACGGUGAAACCCCGUCUCUACUAAAAAUACAAAAAAUUAGCCGGGCGUGGUGGCGGGCGCCUGUAGUCCCAGCUACUGGGGAGGCUGCGGCGGGAGAAUGGCGUGAACCCAGGAGGUGGAGCUUGCAGUGAGCCGAGAUCGCGCCACUGCACUCCAGCCUGGGCGACAGCGAGACUCCGUCUCAAAAAAAAAAAAAAAAAAAAAAAAAAUCACAUACCAUGCAAUGACAGUAAAAAUCAUCCCAAGUUUCAUACCACUUGAACUAAUGUGCUCUAUUGUCACUUGGCUAUGAAGAAUACAAGUGCUAGGUUUCAGUAUUGGCAUCGUAUUACCUUGUCUUUUAAAAUCAGGUUGUGAAACUGGUAUCUUUUUCAAUUUGUUGCCAAUCAGUUAUGCGUUAAUUGAUUUGAAUUCAGUUCCUUCUGUUGUGGUAGAUUUGCUUCUGUAUCGUAUGAUUUCAAGUUGCUCAUUGCCUGAAUUCAGGACAGGGUAGUGGGUGGCUUUCUGGGGCCAUCUCAGGCGGGCUGAAUUGACCUGAAGAUGGCAAUAAGAGAAAAAAGCCAAGUAAAUAUCAAGAACAAUUUUUAGCAUAAAAUUCAGUGUUAAGAUUCAUUGAGAGCUAAUCAAUAGAAACGAAGGUUCUGUAAAUACAUCCAUCUUAUGGGAAUAACUUAGGUCAUAACCAUUGUUGGCAAAGGAGGAAAUUUUUCUUAGUUCCUCUGCACUUUCCCCAAUGAUAUUAAUGUUACACCUCUUUGAUCGUACUUGAAAUGAUUGUAAUAAUAACGAGAGCCGUAAGAGUUUGUUGGUCAUAAAAACAUACAACAUUUUAAGAACUUUAUUGGGUUUUUAUUGACAUAUAUAACUAUUAAAUAUAAGAUUAUAGACCCCAAAUAUCAAAUUAACUUUAGCAUUUACAAUUUUCCUUUGUCUCCUCUAAGCAGCCACAAUUUCCAAUGUAGCACAUAAUGAGGUCAUCAUAGUUGCAAAUCUAUAUCUUCAUAUUGUAUAACUUGAGAACAUUUUUAAACUCAGUGUAUAGGUUUGUGUGGAUGUUGUAUCAAUGUUCACAACACGAGGCAAGUGGAAAUAAAGCAAAAAUACUGUUAAUGUGUAAUAACAUUGUGCUAACAGAAUGGGCAAUUUGUAACAAUGCCAUCAGUGACUCCACUAUCUAGCACAACAGUUAAUACAUAGUGUGUAAGUUCACAUUUCAGAUAAGUGAUAGUUAUCAUUUUAAGUACCAAAACUUAGGUUUAAAGAAGUUUCUGAGAUAUGCAGAAUUCUACCUCUCACUGGGCUUUGAAAAUAUGUUACUCCUCAGGACUCACCGUGUCGUAAGCAUCACUGAUUAUUGUUUAUGUCUGUUCUAAAUUGCAGAAACAGUUUCAGAAACCUAGGUUAUUUGGUUUUUAGUCCUAAUCUUGUUACUGUAAAAGUCACACGUGUUCAUCCAUUGUAGAAAGUUCUCCAAAGUGCAAUCACAUAUAAAGAAGCAAAUAAAAAUCAUCCUCAAUCUCACUCUCCAGAAGUAAUGAUUAUUAACAGUUUCAUGAUCUUCAUCACACUGCAUUAAGUUUCCCAGAGCUGCCAUCACAAAUUAGCACAAACUGUGUGACUUAAAACAACAGAAAUUUAUUCUCUUACAGUUCACGAGGCCAGGAAUCUAAAAUUAAGGCAUCAGCAGGGUUGGGUCCUUCUGGAGGCUCUCAGAGAGUCUGUUCCAUGCGUCUCUCCUGGUUUCUGGUGUUUGCCAGCAAUCUUUGAUUCAUAGACACAUCAUUCCCAUCUCUACCUCCGCCAUCACAUGGCCUUAUUCUAUGUGUGUGUCUUUCUGCAUCCUCUCCUCUUUUUAUAAGGACACCAGGUAUUGGGUCUAUAGCCCAUCCUAAUCCAGAAUGACUUCGUCUCAGCUGAUUAACAUCUGCAAAGACUCUGUUUCUAAACAAAUUCAUAUUGUGAGGUUCUGGGUGAACAUGAAUUUGUGGGGGACACUGGGGGACACUUAUUCAACCCACUACACACACUGUAAUAUAUAUUUAUAGAAUCACGAAAACGGGACCAUAAUUUAUAUAAAGCUUAGUUCCCUUUACACUUAAGAUACCAUGAAUUUCCCUAGGUCUUUCAAACACAGAAUUUUAAUUUUUUGUAGAGUGUUUCAUCAUAUGAAGAUUACAUCAUUUCCAUAGCUAACCUGCUACUUCAAACACUCAGAUGGUUUCCAGACUUUACUAUUAUAAAUGGCUCUGAUGAAUAUACAUGUUCCCAAAUCUUUGAAUUUAUCUCUGCUUAUGUCCUUGGUAUAAAUUAUUCUGAGUCGAAUUAUUGGAUUAAGGGGUAUGAACAUUUUAAAGGCUCAUGAAAAAUCUUCUUUAAUUGAAUUCCAGAGAUUGUAUCAAUUUGCCAUCACCAGCAGAAGAGAGAACCCAUGGCAUUGCAUUCUCUGCACUGCACGUUCUAGCUUUUUGAGUGUUGGACAAGUGACUAGGCAAAGAAAUAACAUCCUUACUUUGUGACUUGUAUUUUUAUGUAAGGUUGCCUCUUUGUUUACGGACCACUUAUAUAUCUUUUUUAGGUUACCAAUUUAUGAUUUGUGUCUCCUUUUCAAUUUUUUUCUCCUCUCUCCAACUGCCAGUAUUUAUUUCUUACCAUCUCACGGAUGAGUAUACUGUCCACCUCCACCCCUUUUAGAGUCCACUGUUAGCUAAGAAACUAUGUAGAUGUAUCCUCCCUCUCCUUUUCCCAUUCUCGAACCACCUCUGAAUCUUGUACAAAUGUCAAUCAUUGCCUCCAUUGUGUCUUAACUGUUUACAUUUCGCUUUCCCUUCUAAGACUUUGAGCACUUUGGGGCCAUUUCCAUGUCUUAUCUGUGUUUUUGUAUCUUCAGCAACUAACAUGGAUGCUCAAUAAACAUACAUUGAACUGAGUUGUUACGUUGUGACCUGGAAAUAUUCACAAUUCCUUGUAUAGAUAGAAAUAGCUAAAUAAGGGCACAUAAGGAUAGACUCUAAAUGGCACUCAAUAAUGUGCAUAGGGCUGGGCGUGGUGACUCCCUGCCUGUAAUCACAGCACUUUGGGAGGUGGAGGUGGAUCACCUGAGGUCAGGAGUUAGAGACCAGCCUGGGCAACAUGGUGAAACUUCGUCUCAACCAAAAACACAAAAAAUCAGCUGGGUGUGGUAGUGUAUGUCUGUAAUCCCAGCUAUUUGGGAGGCUGCAGCACGAGAAUUGCUUGAACACAGGAGGUGGAGGUUGCAGUGAGCUGAGAUCGUAUCAUUGCACUCCAGCCUGGGCAACAGAGCAAGACUCUGUCUCAAAAAAAAAAGCAUAGGAUUUAAUCCAUGAAUUUUGAAUUUCUAUGUUAAAUUUUUAGAAAUAGUAACUUUUUCUCCCAUAUUUCUCAGCUAUAUCUGAGAUAACUGGGACUGAGCAACAUUGUCUAGACAGGCAAAGUGUUAGCAAUAAUAAGUAUAAUAAUAAUUGUAAUGUAAUAAUGGAAUGAGGAUGUUAAAGUACUGAGAUCAGGAUAAAAGUUACAAUUGUCCAAAUUUUAAAUUUCCUAUCAUUUCCACUGAAAUCACUGACUGUACUUAUAACAUUAUCAGGAAUUUAUGCAAUUUGUAGGUUUUGAAAUAAAUUACCAUUCAGAAUUCAACCGUGAAAAACAGUGUAACUCUACUUGAAAAACACUUUGAAAAACUCAAGUUUCCACCAAAUCUAGAAGCACAUGGGUCGUAAAACAUAGUUCGAAAAGUUACGAGAGAUGAUGACUACAAGGAACUUUUUAUAAAAAUCUUUUAUAAGCAUUACUCUGUGGUCAAAUUUAUUUUCACAUGGAUAUUAAAACAAGUUAUUGCUAC
rnacentral:lncRNA from 1 species